GACACUUCAAGGCCCGCCUCUGUCAUUUAGACGUCACAGACUUGGAGCUGCUGAAAUGCUAGGCUGUCAAUCAGUAGCUUUUGUCGUAAUGAAAUGGCUGUUUAAGGAGGUCCGAUGUAAUUUAUGGAAUAGUUUGUAUAAAAGGUCGCAUGGUACGUACGGCGUUGUUGCUGCUGCGUGGACGUUUGCAGAUCGAUGGAUUAAAGUCAAAACCACCCCACGCGGAAAAUGAAAAGAUAACAUCGAAGGAGUAAUUUCCGUAACGAAACCCUAUUUUGUCAUCAUUAAACAUAUUUUGCAUUCGGCACAUCAGGUUAACUGGCAUAGAACUACUAUUUUAUAAAAAGAUUCGCCUCGUAAUGCCAAACCAACCUGCUCGAGGUGAGAUUGUAAUGAUAUUACUGUGGUGACUCCGGCUUCUGCUAGCACCGGGGGUAGAAACAAGGCAAUGAAUUUGCGCAUGUGCAGGCAUUUGCCCUGCAUGUUAUGAACUUAUUAAUGAAAUUUAUCAA